rnacentral:tRNA from 1 species
GGGGAUUUAGCUCAGUGGAAGAGCACUUGCCUAGCAAGCGCAAGGCCCUGGGUUCAGUUCCCAGCUCCG